CUGUCAUGGCGGCAGUCGGGGGACACUGGUAGAUGUGAUGUUUGACAGAUGGCUGCCACAUCUCUUCAAAGAGUGGUGGCUGAAACCAGGGAGUCUCCAGGAAGGCUGGCUGUGUGACAGAACAGCUGAUAUCCAAACAAGGCUGUACUUCCCAGCUUCUUUUGUGGCUGAGCGUGUUCACGACAGAGUUGUGGCCAAGGCCAAUGGGACACACAUGGAGUUUUGUAUGAGGUAAAGUGUUUUCGUUUUUUUUCUGGUACCAGGGAUCAACCUCAGGACCUUGCGCUUGCCAGGCAGGUGCGGUGCCCUGAGCUAAAUCCCCAGCCCGCUUUUGUUUUUUGAGACAAGGUCU
rnacentral:lncRNA from 1 species